UCUCCGUAGGUGAACCUGCGGAGGGAUCAUUACUGAGUGAGGGUCUCCGGGCCCGACCUCCAACCCUUUUGUGAACCACCUCGUUGCUUCGGGGGUGACCCUGCCGCUUCGGCGGUGCGGCGCCCCCGGAGGCCAUUAAACACUGCAUUCUCUGCGUCGGAGUAUUAGUAAAUCUAAUCAAAACUUUCAACAACGGAUCUCUUGGUUCUGGCAUCGAUGAAGAACGCAGC
rnacentral:misc_RNA from 1 species